UACGUAGGGAGCAAGCGUUGUCCGGAAUCAUUGGGCGUAAAGCGCGCGUAGGCGGCCCUGUAAGUCCGUUGUGAAAGUCAAAGGCUCAACCUUUGAAAGCCGAUGGAUACUGCAGGGCUAGAGUCCGGAAGAGGCGAGUGGAAUUCCCGGUGUAGCGGUGAAAUGCGCAGAUAUCGGGAGGAACACCAGUAGCGAAGGCGGCUCGCUGGGCCAUUCCUGACGCUGAGACGCGAAAGCUAGGGGAGCGAACAGG
rnacentral:rRNA from 1 species